rnacentral:lncRNA from 1 species
GUGGGUUUUCGAUUUGAAUUGGACUAGAGUUAUUCCCUUCAAUUGCAUAAUUUCUAGAUCUCCUUCUUGUACAAAAUAUAAGACAUCAAAUCUGUAAUAACUAUUAUCAAUAAGCCCUUUAACACUUUAGUUAUAACCUAGUCCUUCCCAUCCUUGCAGCCUGCAACAUUUGAUUUCCCACCCGCAAUGGUUGUCACACCUGCAAACAAUUUGCAUUAGAAUUUCAGAAAUUGUUACACCUGUUUGGAAAAGCAGAAUUGGUAUUGACUUUUCAUUUUAUCAAUGAAUGAUUAUGCUUUUAUGUUUUUUGUUAUGGUUUGAUCCUGUUUCUGCUACAGAUUCUUUGUUACACCUAUAGAUUUCAUGAUCUUGAAUUCCUUAUCGGAGGGCUUGAUAGAAAACGUAACUAGUUCUAGGAUUUUUGUUUCUCUGUUUUGGCUUUCUUUGCAAUUCCAUGGUGCUGCAGCACAGGAUUGUUCAAGGUUUAUUUGUAAAUGCUUUUGGUGUAAGUGUUUUCAGUAUUAGUGUCAAAUUUUAUAAACAAUCCAAGUGUUUGAGACUAUUUGUGUAGGAAUCACUUAUGCUCAUUAGUGCUUUUAGUAUAAACAUGUCCAGUUUCAUUACAAAACCAAGUGCUCAUUAGUGUUUGGGCGUUGGAUGUCAUUUUGAUGUUAUCCUUUUUCUUACAGAUUCAAUGAAGAAUGAUGUUGGACGUUUGAUACUUUAAUGUCAUUGCAGAUGUUAAUGUGGAUGUUAUUUCGGUUUUAAUGUUUAUGUUUAUUUUGGAUUUGGAAUAGCUCCUGUAAUCUAUCUGUGCAGAAGCUUGAAGCUUGAAGCAUCUCUUGUAAUUUUUGAAAACGUUUGUGCUGCUGCAUGCAGUUUUAUAAAAAUGUAUUUUUGAAAAAAAGAAAAAUAGAGUUGGACCCGUGGACCUGCCCCGGACCAGCCUGUUUGAAACGGGCUGGGUUAGGUCCGGUUCCAAAACUCAAAAUCUCUUUACCGGGCUUGGCCCAUCCUGUAACAGUUUAGAACAAGUAGGGUUAGAUUCCUCCAAAUUUGGGCUCGGCCCGGCCCAUGCCCACCCCUACUUGCAUCCACACAAAAACUACACAAAAAAAUUGCCAAUGAGAUUGGAUAGCAUACCACAAUGUCAUGAAGCAAAAUUAACUUUAAUCAAGAAAUUAGCCACCUGAAAUCUGUCGGACAACUCUCCAACAAACCCAACUUUUUCUGGGUUUAUAUUUUCUCCCAAUCCAAAACGGAUUCAUCUAAAACACAAAGUCAGACGGGCUAAUCCUUUCACUGGACUGUGAUUUAACAAAGGUCCACCAUCACUCCAACAGUGCCUCUGCAUUGCUACUUGUUUCCUAGGUCCUGAACUGGAAAAUCCCCAAACAGCCAAAUCCAAAUUUUAUCAUCAAAACCAAAAUUAUAGUAAAAAAAAAUUAUUUUUCCGAAACUCUUCUAAAGGGCAGAAAGAGAGAAAGUACAAUUUAAGUUCGAAAACCUACAGAGGGGUUUUGGAGGAGAAGCAAAGAGGAGGAAAGGUGUGACCACCAUGACAACUCCAGGUUAGUCAUCCUGGAUUCAGUUUGCAGCAUAAUUACUACUACUUGCAAUGAUUCGCCUAUCAUUGUCUGGGGAGCAAAAACCUUGCAAAGACCAACAAUCCCAAAAAAUCAGUAUAUAUCACUCCUUGCAAAACUCCAAAGUCAGAAAAUGAGAAAAAUAAAAUUUCAUAACAUUAUACCUGAAGAAACCCCAAAUUUCCAGUCAAAGGGAAAUUAAUACAAUCUCUGCAAAAAAUAAUCAGAAGACAAAAACUCAAAUCUCAGAAAAAAAAAUCAGCAAAUUAAUCUUAUAAAUUGUGAUUUGGAAGAAAUUUUUGGAGGAGGGUAAGAUUGAAACGCACUGAGAGGCAAGCCUUGUAUUUCUGCAAUCCUUGUCCCAUUGGCCCUUCACAAACUUCUUCGAGUACGAUCCUACCUUUAACUUGAUUCGAAGGAAGGGCAUUGAAUGUUGACUCAACAAAAUUUUGCAAGUAAUGAAGUUGCGUAAUAAAUUUCACCUGAGAAGUUAAAGGGCACCAAGGUAAAUAAGGAAAAUUAAAACCAGUAACCACAUCAAUAUGAAUGAGCCUUAUGUUUAUUCUUUUCACUCAAACAUCAUUAUACCAUUACAGAAAAUCAGGAAUUUGAACAUCAGCUCGCGACUUCGCCUUUGAUUUGAACUCCACCAACUUCGAUGCAGUCCUUGGAUACACCCUUGCCUCCUUUGUCGUAGUCGAAUUCUUCGCUCACUAGUCAGCUUUUCUAAUUUCUACGUAAACCAUUGAUUCUAUUUGGGAAAUAAAUGGAACCCCUUAUGUUUUCUUGGCCAUAAUGGAUAUCAUCUUUGAUGAAUAUCAUCUGUGAGAAAACAAUUUGCUUUGUACACAUAAGUAACCACACAUUAGUAACCGUAAAUCGAAUUAAAACAAUUUGAUUAAUAUCAGUAACCACGACUAUAAUAACUACAAUUUGAACAUUUACCUCGAUCACAAAGUCUGUAACAUUUACCUCAA